GACGAACGCUGGCGGCGUGCUUAACACAUGCAAGUCGAACGGAAAGGCCCUGCUUUUGUGGGGUGCUCGAGUGGCGAACGGGUGAGUAACACGUGAGUAACCUGCCCUUGACUUUGGGAUAACUUCAGGAAACUGGGGCUAAUACCGGAUAGGAGCUCCUGCUGCAUGGUGGGGGUUGGAAAGUUUCGGCGGUUGGGGAUGGACUCGCGGCUUACCAGCUUGUUGGUGGGGUAGUGGCUUACCAAGGCUUUGACGGGUAGCCGGCCUGAGAGGGUGACCGGCCACAUUGGGACUGAGAUACGGCCCAGACUCCUACGGGAGGCAGCAGUGGGGAAUAUUGCACAAUGGGCGGAAGCCUGAUGCAGCAACGCCGCGUGCGGGAUGACGGCCUUCGGGUUGUAAACCGCUUUCGCCUGUUACGAAGCGUGAGUGACGGUAAUGGGGAAAGAAGCACCGGCUAACUACGU
rnacentral:rRNA from 1 species